UACGUAGGGUGCGAGCGUUGUCCGGAAUUACUGGGCGUAAAGAGCUCGUAGGUGGUUUGUCGCGUUGUUCGUGAAAACCGGGGGCUUAACCCUCGGCGGGCGGGCGAUACGGGCAGACUGGAGUACUGCAGGGGAGACUGGAAUUCCUGGUGUAGCGGUGGAAUGCGCAGAUAUCAGGAGGAACACCGGUGGCGAAGGCGGGUCUCUGGGCAGUAACUGACGCUGAGGAGCGAAAGCGUGGGGAGCGAACAGG
rnacentral:rRNA from 1 species